GAUGUUCAGAUGCACAUUGAAACAGCUGCUGAAGUUUGUCCAGAGAAUGAGACUGAGAUUGGGAACCCACGAAAAGGUCAAAAAGUGUGCUGGUCAACUGCUGAGGUUACGGCUGUGAUGAAACAUUUUAAAUCGCACAUAACCAAAGGAAAACUGGCCACACUGACUGAAUGCCAGCAGUGUAAGACUGCUGAGGAUCCUGUUUUGGCAAGGCGCACUGCACAAAACAUAAGAGAUUUCGUACGAAACCGAGGGAUUAGUAUGAAAAGAAAAUCUCAAAAUAAGUGACCCAUCCUUGUUUGAUGAGCAGUAUGCCAUUUAUUUGAAAUUGUACUCUCGUUAUUUUGUUAGCUUUCAUUUCCAGUUUCUAGAGUUGUUCUUAAAGGGAUAGUUCACCCAAAAAUAGAAAUUCUGUCAUCAUUUAAUCAUCCUCUUUUCACCCUGUAUGAAAAAUAUUUUGAAGAAUGUUGGUAGGCAAACAACGGCGGUACCCAUUGACUUGCAUUGGUUUUGUGUAAUUAGAAACUGCUAUUGUUUGGUUACCAACAUUCUUCAAAAUAUCUUCCUUUGUGUUCUACAGAAGAAAUUAAAUCAUACUGGAUUAAAAUUAUAACAGAAGUUUCAUUUUUGGGUGAACUAUCCCUUUGAAGUUUCUUGAAACUAUGCCGAAUUUAAGUUUAGUGAGGGCAUCUUGUUUCAAUGCCUUGCCGUCAUCUCAGUAUGGCUUGUUUUUAAUGGGCUAUAUUGUUAAGAUUGUUUUAUAUGGCUUUUCUAUAUGUGAUGUUUUUUUUCUUUGUAAAUGGGCACAUCAUCUUAAAUCUCUUAGUUUAUAUUAAAAUAAACUAAUAAAUACUUGCAUUGGUGA